CUAAUAGAAACUCGACCUCGACAAGUAGUGAGGAAGGUGGGGAUGACGUCAAAUCAGCACGGCCCUUACGUCCAGGGCUACACACGUGCUACAAUGGCCGGUAACAAAGGGCAGCUACCUGGUGACAGGAUGCUAAUCUCAAAAGCCGGUCUCAGUUCGGAUCGGAGUCUGCAACCCGACUCCGUGAAGUUGGAUUCGCUAGUAAUCGCGCAUCAGCCAUGGCGCGGUGAAUACGUUCCCGGGCCUU
rnacentral:rRNA from 1 species